CCAGCAGCUGCGGUAAUUCCAGCUCCAAUAGCGUAUAUUAAAGUUGUUGCAGUUAAAACGCUCGUAGUCUGGUGUGGAGUGUGUGGGGGUGUGGGUCGAUAGAUUUGCAAACUCGCGCACUCGUUCUGACAGAUAUGUCGGGGUUACUUUGAGGAAAUUAGGGUGUUCAAGGCAGGCGUGUGCUUGGAUAUCGCAGCAUGGAAUAAUGGAAUAGGACUUUGGUGCUAUUUCGUUGGUUAAUGGGACCGAAGUAAUGAUUAAAAGGGACAGUUGGGGCCGUUUAUAUUUCGUUGUCAGAGGUGAAAUUCUUGGAUUUACGAAAGAUAAACUUCUGCGAAAGCAUUCGGCAAGGAUGUUUUCA
rnacentral:rRNA from 1 species